rnacentral:rRNA from 1 species
UACGUAGGGGGCAAGCGUUGUCCGGAUUUAUUGGGCGUAAAGAGCGUGUAGGCGGCCAUACAGGUCCGUUGUGAAAACUGGAGGCUUAACCUCCAGACGUCGAUGGAAACCGUAUGGCUAGAGUCCGGAAGAGGAGAGUGGAAUUCCUGGUGUAGCGGUGAAAUGCGCAGAUAUCAGGAAGAACACCGGAGGCGAAGGCGGCUCGCUGGGACGGUACUGACGCUGAGACGCGAAAGCGUGGGGAGCGAACAGG